rnacentral:hammerhead_ribozyme from 1 species
GACUGGUUGAGAGCUGGCGUCGCAUCCUGAAGAGUCUAAGGCAGGACGAAACCAGUG